UACCAGCACCCCCGAGUGGUCGGGACGAUUAUUGGGCCUAAAGCAUCCGUAGCCGGUCCUACAAGUCUUCCGUUAAAUCCACCUGCUCAACAGAUGGGCUGCGGAAGAUACUAUAGGGCUAGGAGGCGGGAGAGGCAAGCGGUACUCAGUGGGUAGGGGGUAAAAUCCUCUGAUCCAUUGAAGACCACCAGUGGCGAAGGCGGCUUGCCAGAACGCGCUCGACGGUGAGGGAUGAAAGCUGGGGGGAGCAAACCGG
rnacentral:rRNA from 1 species